GACGAACGCUGGCGGCGUGCUUAACACAUGCAAGUCGAACGGAAAGGCCCUGCUUUUGUGGGGUGCUCGAGUGGCGAACGGGUGAGUAACACGUGAGUAACCUGCCCUUGACUUUGGGAUAACUUCAGGAAACUGGGGCUAAUACCGGAUAGGAGCUCCUGCUGCAUGGUGGGGGUUGGAAAGUUUCGGCGGUUGGGGAUGGACUCGCGGCUUAUCAGCUUGUUGGUGGGGUAGUGGCUUACCAAGGCUUUGACGGGUAGCCGGCCUGAGAGGGUGACCGGCUACAUUGGGACUGAGAUACGGCCCAGACUCCUACGGGAGGCAGCAGUGGGGAAUAUUGCACAAUGGGCGGAAGCCUGAUGCAGCAACGCCGCGUGCGGGAUGACGGCCUUCGGGUUGUAAACCGCUUUCGCCUGUGACGAAGCGUGAGUGACGGUAAUGGGUAAAGAAGCACCGGCUAACUACGUGCCAGCAGCCGCGGUGAUACGUAGGGUGCGAGCGUUGUCCGGAUUUAUUGGGCGUAAAGGGCUCGUGGGUGGUUGAUCGCGUCGGAAGUGUAAUCUUGGGGCUUAACCCUGAGCGUGCUUUCGAUACGGGUUGACUUGAGGAAGGUAGGGGAGAAUGGAAUUCCUGGUGGAGCGGUGGAAUGCGCAGAUAUCAGGAGGAACACCAGUGGCGAAGGCGGUUCUCUGGGCCUUUCCUGACGCUGAGGAGCGAAAGCGUGGGGAGCGAACAGGCUUAGAUACCCUGGUAGUCCACGCUGUAAACGGUGGGUACUAGGUGUGGGGUCCAUUCCACGGGUUCCGUGCCGUAGCUAACGCUUUAAGUACCCCGCCUGGGGAGUACGGCCGCAAGGCUAAAACUCAAAGGAAUUGACGGGGCCCCGCACAAGCGGCGGAGCAUGCGGAUUAAUUCGAUGCAACGCGUAGAACCUUACCUGGGUUUGACAUGGAUCGGGAGUGCUCAGAGAUGGGUGUGCCUCUUUUGGGGUCGGUUCACAGGUGGUGCAUGGCUGUCGUCAGCUCGUGUCGUGAGAUGUUGGGUUAAGUCCCGCAACGAGCGCAACCCUUGUUCACUGUUGCCAGCACGUUAUGGUGGGGACUCAGUGGAGACCGCCGGGGUCAACUCGGAGGAAGGUGGGGAUGACGUCAAGUCAUCAUGCCCCUUAUGUCCAGGGCUUCACGCAUGCUACAAUGGCUGGUACAGAGAGUGGCGAGCCUGUGAGGGUGAGCGAAUCUCGGAAAGCCGGUCUCAGUUCGGAUUGGGGUCUGCAACUCGACCUCAUGAAGUCGGAGUCGCUAGUAAUCGCAGAUCAGCAACGCUGCGGUGAAUACGUUCCCGGG
rnacentral:rRNA from 1 species